GACGAACGCUGGCGGCGCGCCUAACACAUGCAAGUCGAACGAGAGAUGAAGAGCUUGCUCUUCAGAUCGAGUGGCGAACGGGUGAGUAACGCGUGAGGAACCUGCCUCAAAGAGGGGGACAACAGUUGGAAACGACUGCUAAUACCGCAUAAGCCCACGGCUCGGCAUCGAGCAGAGGGAAAAGGAGCAAUCCGCUUUGAGAUGGCCUCGCGUCCGAUUAGCUAGUUGGUGAGGUAACGGCCCACCAAGGCGACGAUCGGUAGCCGGACUGAGAGGUUGAACGGCCACAUUGGGACUGAGACACGGCCCAGACUCCUACGGGAGGCAGCAGUGGGGAAUAUUGCACAAUGGGGGAAACCCUGAUGCAGCGACGCCGCGUGGAGGAAGAAGGUCUUCGGAUUGUAAACUCCUGUUGUUGAGGAAGAUAAUGACGGUACUCAACAAGGAAGUGACGGCUAACUACGUGCCAGCCGCCGCAGUAA
rnacentral:rRNA from 1 species